CUUUCCAUUUCUCUUUAGGUGGGAGACGGUUGUGAUAAGAGCCUGAGCAGCACUGGGAAGCACCUGAAAUGUCCCGGGCCCCUUCUUUCACCCUUUCCAUUCCUGAAGGCAGGGAGAGCCCUAGCCCGGACCCCAGCCCGUAUGACGAGAGCAUCGUACAUGACUCCUUCCAUCAGCUCAUCCAGGAACAGAGUCAGCGAGCUGAAGCUGAAGCUCUGGAACUCCAGGAGUGGCCUCCCAGGGACAAGGGUGGAGGUUCCCAGACCCUCACGGCCCCUCAGGAGUACUCGGGAGCCACUCUUAAGAUCCUGGCCAAUAUGCCCAGCCGGACCAUUGGCCGAAGCAGGGGGGCCAUUAUCUCUCAGUACUACAACCAAACAAUCAAAUUGAGGAGGAAAAAUAGCCGACCCUUGCUGAGGGACUUGUCACGUUCUGCCCGACCCAGUAUUCGGCAAUACGACUUGGAGUUGGACAUGACCCCCAGGGCAGAAGAAGAGAAGCGGAGCUUGUUGGUGAAGGAACUGCAGGGCCUGACAAUGACCCAGAGGAAUCACAUGCUGCGGGACAUGCCCGUGAGCCUGGCUGAGAAACGCUGCCUCCGACAGGACACCUGUAUCCAGAGGGGAAGACAGAGGCACCAGCAGGGCAGCCAGACCCAGUUGUACUGCUGUAGUCGCCUCAAGUAUCAUUGUAUCAUAGCUUUCCGCAGCUUGUGGUAUGGACUUCUCUCUGGUCUGCAUGCCCUGAAACCCUGGCGUGGCCACCUGAAGCAAAUUAGUGGCCAGUUUGGCUCCAGUGUCCUCUCCUACUUCCUCUUCCUCAAGACCUUGGUCUCCUUCAAUGUCCUGCUCCUCCUCCUGCUGCUGCCCUUCAUUGUGGCCGUACAGGUGGCCUUUCCCCCAACUUCAGAGUCCCCUGUUUCCCAGUCGUUCACAGGCCUGGAACUCUUCACUGGUGGGGGCCGAUUCACCCACACAGUGAUGUACUAUGGUUACUACAGUAACUUCACCUUGAACCAGCCAUGCUCCUCCCAUCAGAACAGUGACCACUGCCCUCCAGGGGCAGUCCAUCUGCCGUAUAACAUGCCCCUGGCUUACCUCUUUACCGUUGGUAUUUCCUUCUUUAUCACCUGCAUCACCCUCGUAUACAGCAUGUCUCACUCCUUUGGGAAAAGCUACCAGGUGGGCAGUACCCUUGGAGUCCAUGCCCUCACUGUCUUCUGCUCCUGGGACUACCGGGUAACCCAAAAAUGGGCUUCCCGUUUACAGCAUGACAACAUUAGGACACAGUUGAAGGAGCUGUUGGCUGAGUGGCAGCUGAAGCAACGCCCAAAAAGCGUGUGUGGAAGACUGAGGCAGAUGGUGGUGCUGUUCCUGGUGUGGCUGCUGUCCCUGGGUUCUGCCCUGGGCUGUGCCAUUGCUGUCUACUCAUUCUCAGAGUAUAUGCAUGAAAACCAUGAGAUUAGGACCAGUACGAUCAGUGAGAAACUCCAGGAAGCCCAUCUGCUGGCUCUGCCCCUCGUGGUCUGUAUCAUCAACUUGGUGGUUCCCUAUCUCUACAAUGUCCUAGCCCUCUGCGAGCAAAACGAUUCUCCCGUUCUGGAGGUGUAUGUGGCCAUUUGCAGGAACCUGAUUCUUAAAAUGGUUAUUCUGGGACUUCUCUGUUAUCACUGGAUGGGCCGCAAGGUUAGAUCACUGGAAGACCAGUGCUGGGAGACGUUUGUGGGGCAGGAGCUCUAUCGCUUCAUGGUGAUGGACUUCAUCUUCACGCUGGUGGACACCCUCUUUGGGGAGCUGGUCUGGAGGCUCAUUACAGAGAGACUGAAGCGAGAUCGGAAACCAGAGUUUGAUGUUGCUCGAAAUGUGCUGGAGCUGAUUUACGGGCAGACCCUGACCUGGUUGGGUGUUCUCUUCUCCCCUCUUCUCCCUGCUGUCCAGCUUCUCAAGCUCCUGUUCCUGUUCUAUGUCAAGAAGAUCAGUCUGAUGGCAAAUUGCCAGGCACCUAGGAAACCCUGGAGAGCUUCGCAUAUGACCACUAUUUUCAUCACUCUCCUCUGCUUCCCCUCCUUCUUGGGGGCAGCCAUAUUCCUCUCCUAUGCUAUCUGGCAAGUGAGGCCUUCCAGGACUUGUGGCCCCUUCCGGACCUUGGACACCAUGUAUGAGGCUGGCAAAGUCUGGAUUCGUCACCUGGAGGAGUCCAGUCCCAGUGUUGUUUGGUUUACCUGGAUCCACCAGUAUCUGGUGGAAAAUACCUUUUUUAUUUUCCUGUUAUCAGCUGUGCUUCUGGCUGUGAUCUACUUCAAUAUCCAGGUGGUGAAGGGACAGCGGAAAGUUAUCUGCCUCCUCAAGGAGCAGAUUAGUAAUGAGGGAGAGGACAAAAUCUUCCUUAUCAACAAGCUUCACUCCCUUUAUGAGAAGAGGGCAACCCCCAGCUGAGGGGCUGAAGCUAAGAGACUGCAGGGCACUUUUGCACACAGCCUCUCACGAGGGGGCAGGUAUUAGAUCCUUAUUUCACAGAUGAAGCCUCUUGAGCCUCAGAGAGGGUCCCUGAGGCCCUAAAGUGCUCUUCAAUUUUACUUGAAAUAUCCUUGUGGCUGAAGAACAUUGAUCAGGCCAGAGACUGACCACUGAAGCUGGGAAUUAUUUCAGCAACGACUUCCACCUCAUCCCCCCCAUUCUCUUUCUUCCAGUUUGCUGGGGACAGGCCUGACAUAGUAUUUAUUUGAAAUAAAUAGUGUUUUUAUUUUGUUUUUUGAA